rnacentral:misc_RNA from 1 species
GAUGAAGAACGUAGCGAAAUGCGAUAAGUAAUGUGAAUUGCAGAAUUCAGUGAAUCAUCGAAUCUUUGAACGCACAUUGCGCCCCCUGGUAUUCCGGGGGGCAUGCCUGUCCGAGCGUCAUUACAACCCUCAAGCUCAGCUUGGUGUUGGGCCCCGCCGCCCCGGCGGGCCCUAAAGUCAGUGGCGGUGCCGUCCGGCUCCGAGCGUAGUAAUUCUUCUCGCUCUGGAGGUCCGGUCGUGUGCUCGCCAGCAACCCCCAAUUUUUUUCAGGUUGACCUCGGAUCAGGUUGGGAUACCCGCUGAACUUAAGCAUAUCAAUAAGCGGAGGA